AUUGAACGCUGGCGGCAGGCCUAACACAUGCAAGUCGAACGGUAGCAGGAAGAAGCUUGCUUCUUCGCUGACGAGUGGCGGACGGGUGAGUAAUGUCUGGGAAACUGCCUGGUGGAGGGGGAUAACUACUGGAAACGGUAGCUAAUACCGCAUAACGUCGCAAGACCAAAGAGGGGGACCUUCGGGCCUCUUGCCAUCGGAUGUGCCCAGAUGGGAUUAGCUUGUUGGUGGGGUAACGGCUCACCAAGGCGACGAUCCCUAGCUGGUCUGAGAGGAUGACCAGCCACACUGGAACUGAGACACGGUCCAGACUCCUACGGGAGGCAGCAGUGGGGAAUAUUGCACAAUGGGCGCAAGCCUGAUGCAGCCAUGCCGCGUGUAUGAAGAAGGCCUUCGGGUUGUAAAGUACUUUCAGCGGGGAGGAAGGGAGUAAAGUUAAUACCUUUGCUCAUUGACGUUACCCGCAGAAGAAGCACCGGCUAACUCCGUG
rnacentral:rRNA from 1 species